rfam:Paraburkholderia sp. SOS3 chromosome 1, complete sequence.
CUUCGUCGAUCUGCUGCGGGCUGAUGAAGUGAAUAUGCGUAUCGAUGCCGCCCGCGGUGACGAUCAGCCCUUCGCCCGCGAUCACUUCGGUCGCGGCGCCCAGCGGGAUCGUCACGCCCGGCUGGAUAUCGGGAUUGCCGGCCUUGCCGAUCGCCGCGAUGCGGCCGUCCUUGAGGCCGAUGUCGGCCUUCACGAUGCCCCAGUGAUCGAGUAUCACCGCGUUCGUGAUCACCGUAUCGACCACGUCGGCCGCGAGACGCUGCGACUGGCCCAUGCCGUCGCGAAU